rnacentral:rRNA from 1 species
GAUGAACGCUGGCGGCGUGCCUAAUACAUGCAAGUCGAACGCAUUGUGGUUGAAAUGAUAUGAAGAACUUGUUCAGAUUUGAUUUUCAACAUUGCAAUGAGUGGCGAACGGGUGGGUAACACGUGGGAAACCUACCUCUUAGCAGGGGAUAACAUUUGGAAACAAAUGCUAAUACCGUAUAAUAAUUAAAACCGCAUGGUUUUAGUUUAAAAGAUGGUCUUGCUAUCACUAAGAGAUGGUCCCGCGGUGUAUUAGUUAGUUGGUGAGGUAAUGGCUCACCAAGACAAUGAUACAUAGCCGAGUUGAGAGACUGACCGGCCACAAUGGGACUGAGACACGGCCCAUACUCCUACGGGAGGCAGCAGUUAGGGAAUCUUCCACAAUGGACGAAAGUCUGAUGGAGCAAACGCCGCGUGUGUGAUG